rnacentral:rRNA from 1 species
UACGUAGGGGGCGAGCGUUGUCCGGAUUUAUUGGGCGUAAAGAGCUCGUAGGCGGCUUAGUAAGUCAGGUGUGAAACCUCCAGGCUCAACCUGGAGACGCCACCUGAUACUGCUGUGGCUAGAGUCCGGUAGGGGAGCAGGGAACUCCUGGUGUAGCGGUGAAAUGCGCAGAUAUCAGGAAGAACACCAGCGGCGAAGGCGCUGCUCUGGGCCGGAACUGACGCUGAGGAGCGAAAGCGUGGGGAGCAAACAGG